UGCAUUUUGAAGGUGCCCCGCUACUCAAGGGUUGACAUAAAACGAUCCCCUGAGAGCGUUCGGCUCUUCCAUGUUCUUCGUCGUCGUCGUCUUCCGUCUUCUUCUCUUGCUUGGGGGGCCUCUGGUUGAACCAAUUGAUACAUAAUCCAAGAAUCAUUUUGGGUGCUGAUUUCAAUUGGUCUCUGUCCCGCUAGCACAGCAAAGGUGACAAGGUUACAACUAGGGAAAAAAUAAUCAAGUGCGAUUUAGAUAUAUGGA